rnacentral:rRNA from 1 species
UCGAACGAUGAUCCCAGCUUGCUGGGGGAUUAGUGGCGAACGGGUGAGUAACACGUGCAGUAACCUGCCCUUAACUCUGGGAUAAGCCUGGGAAACUGGGUCUAAUACCGGAUAUGACUCCUCAUCGCAUGGUGGGGGGUGGAAAGCUUUAUUGUGGUUUUGGAUGGACUCGCGGCCUAUCAGCUUGUUGGUGAGGUAAUGGCUUACCAAGGCGACGACGGGUAGCCGGCCUGAGAGGGUGACCGGCCACACUGGGACUGAGACACGGCCCAGACUCCUACGGGAGGCAGCAGUGGGGAAUAUUGCACAAUGGGCGCAAGCCUGAUGCAGCGACGCCGCGUGAGGGAUGACGGCCUUCGGGUUGUAAACCUCUUUCAGUAGGGAAGAAGCGAAAGUGACGGUACCUGCAGAAGAAGCGCCGGCUAACUACGUGCCAGCAGCCGCGGUAAUACGUAGGGCGCAAGCGUUAUCCGGAAUUAUUGGGCGUAAAGAGCUCGUAGGCGGUUUGUCGCGUCUGCCGUGAAAGUCCGGGGCUCAACUCCGGAUCUGCGGUGGGUACGGGCAGACUAGAGUGAUGUAGGGGAGACUGGAAUUCCUGGUGUAGCGGUGAAAUGCGCAGAUAUCAGGAGGAACACCGAUGGCGAAGGCAGGUCUCUGGGCAUUAACUGACGCUGAGGAGCGAAAGCAUGGGGAGCGAACAGGAUUAGAUACCCUGGUAGU